AAAUUUUUAAAAGGYUGCGGUAUUUUGACUGUACAAAGGUAGCAUAAUCAUUAGUUUUUUAAUUGAAAACUUGUAUGAAUGGUUGAAUGAGAAAUUAACUUUUUUAAAAAAAUAAUUGAAUUUUACUUUUUAAUUAAAAGGUUAAAAUAAAUUUAAAAGACGAGAAGACCCUAUAGAGUUUUAUAAUUUAUAUUUAAUAUUUAAAAAGAUUAAUUAAAAUUUUAUAAAAGAAAAUAUUUUGUUGGGGUGAUAAUAAAAUUUAAAUAACUUUUAUUUUUUUUUACAUUAAUAUAUGAAUUUAUGAUCCAUUAUUGAUGAUUAGAAAUUUAAAUUACCUUAGGGAUAACAGCGUAAUUUUUUUUUAAAGUUCAUAUUAAUAAAAAAUUUUGCGACCUCGAUGUUGGAUUAAGAUUUAAUUUUAGGUGCAGCAGUUUAAAUUUUAAGUCUGUUCGACUUUUAA
rnacentral:rRNA from 1 species